UACGUAGGGGGCAAGCGUUAUCCGGAUUUACUGGGUGUAAAGGGAGCGUAGACGGCUUUGCAAGCCAGAUGUGAAAGCCCGGGGCUCAACCCCGGGACUGCAUUUGGAACUGUGUGGCUAGAGUGUCGGAGAGGCAGGCGGAAUUCCUAGUGUAGCGGUGAAAUGCGUAGAUAUUAGGAGGAACACCAGUGGCGAAGGCAGCGUACCGGCGCCCAACUGACGCUGAAGCACGAAGGCGUGGGUAUCGAACAGG
rnacentral:rRNA from 1 species